rnacentral:rRNA from 1 species
AUUGAACGCUGGCGGCAGGCCUAAUACAUGCAAGUCGAACGGAACUGGGGACGGGGGGGUAAUGCCUAGGAAUCUACCCGGGCGUGGGGGAUAACGCCCGGAUAAGAGCGCUAUUACCACAAACUAUCAAAUGAGCGUAGGUCGUAGUUGCGAGAUGGUGGGGUAAGGGCCUACCUAGGCGACGAUCCGUAAGUGGUCUGAGAGGAUGAUCAGUCACACUGGAACUGAGACACGGUCCAGACUCCUAAGGGAGGCAGCAGGAGGGAAUCUUGGGCAAUGGGCGAAAGCCUGAUCGAGCCAUGCCGCGUGAGUGAAGAAGGUCUUCGGAUUGUAAAGCACUUUAAUUUGGGAGGCGUUACCUAACGAAUAAGCACCGGCUAACUCCGUGCCAGCAGCCGCGGUAAUUC